UGCACCUCGGGCGGGCGAAUUCAAACGCGGCCCUCGCCCCUUCUCCUCGCCGGAGCAGCGGUGGGCUGUGACGUCAUUGCACCGCGUCCUCUUUCUUCCCUUCAGUUUCCGGCGCUCGCCCGCGCCGUGAGUGCCGUGGAAAGUUUUCAUUUGUGUGGUUUGCGGCGGCGAUUCUUCCCCCUUUCCCCCAGGCGCGGGCGGGCAGGGGCUGCCUGAACCCGCUCCGCCGGGCGCGGACCCUCCUCUCCCUUCGCUGUCUCCGCGGGAGGAGCGGCGAGAGGCUUUCAGCGAUGGCUUCGGGCGGCUCGGGGGCGGCGACGCAGCGGGUAGCAGAGCUGGAGGAAGAGCUGCGGGGUCUGGCGGAGCAGCUGAGCUGCUGCCAGGAAAGGUGUGAAAAUGCCUCUGAUCCGUUUUUUGGCCCUGCUAUGGACCUGUUGAUAUGACCAUGUCUUUCUGGUGCUGGGCUCCACAGAGCUGGACACAGUAUUCCAGAUUCAACAUGGAGGAGAAUAACUGCGUGUAGCUGGUCUGGUUUUCCCAUUUAACUGUUUUGAUUUGGGAAGGAGGUACACUGUUCUUGAAGAAUAAGAAUCUUGACUUCAGAUAGUGUUCUUGUCCUUUGCUGUUAUGGAGAGUGCACUGUUUCAAGUAUUUGAAGUUUAGCUCGCAGUUUAAAAGGUAUGCAAGUAUUCUCAUAUUUGUCACAAUUUUUGUCCACAGGAUUUGGAAAGUACUACAAUGCCAUUUCAGGCGCAGUUGAAAUAAUGGACCCAAAUUGCACUUGGUUAGUCGUGAUAAUACAGAGGGAAUAUACCUAAAUACAUGCAUAUGGUUAUAUUGGCUGUAAAAUAAAAUUAU